GGCGAGUCUGUUUCGUACGGCAACGAUAUGAUCAUGGCGUCCGGGGACAACAUGGGAUUCGAUCCGGCGUUUCGCGGUGGAGAGCGACAGAUCCCCGCUAGGUGGGUCAAUUUCCGCCACGGUGGGCCUAGGUUCCCGUUCAGGCAUGAGGAAGAAAUGGAAUUGGAGAGGCCGCAUCACCACCACCGCCACCACCAUGACCACGACCAAGACCGCCGCGAAGGAUUCGAAGGAAUGGAGAAGCCGUUUAGAGAGCACAAGCAUGAGCAUGAGGGCGGUUUGAUGAGGAAGUUCCGCAAGUUCUUGAGCCACUUUUGAGCUUUGAAACCAUUGAUUGAUCCC
rnacentral:lncRNA from 1 species